UUUUUUUUUUUUUGGCGCGCCACCGCCAUCCGACGCCGCGAUCCAGAUCCAGGUACCCCCUCCGUGGACUGCCCCUGCGCCUCACUUCAUCCCUCCCCUCGGCGUCCGCGUCGUCCCUGCCCCCCUGAGACGCCACCGGCGUGGAGUGGAGAUCCGAUCCAUGUGAACCUGAGUAAUCCUAGGCAUCCCGAUCGCUCGUUUUCUCCGCAGAAUCUCUCCCCUUUUGUUCGUUGUGAGCUCUGAAAGGCGAAUAUUCGUCGUUCUCCCCAAUCCAUCCAGUUGGCUCGGCUGCUUGUUUGCAGCGUAGUGGAGUUCGUACUGAUGUAUAGGUGGUUUGGUUUAUGUUUUCUAAUUUUAUUUGCGUGUUCAACUGAAUCCGCACAGCCCUCGUUUAGUCCGCCGCUGGCUUUGUACCAGAGAAACGCACUGCGAAGACACCUCUGUGAAUUCUAACCUGUAUAUUUGUACUGUUUAUGGCAGUGUGGCGGUUCGUUCCACUGUAUCUGUAUACACGGAAUCAGUGAUCGGGCAGAGUAAUACGAGGAGGGAGGGCCUGACCAUUUGAGCUGCUUUUGUAGAGAAUGUCAGAGGGGAAUGCGGAUGGCAUCGAGAUAUUAAUCUGUAAUGAUGAGAGGAGGGACAGAGCAGAUGCCGAGAUAUCAGAGGACGAGCCGAGGCACACGAAAAUGAGGGCGCUGAGGAAAAAAGCGCUGCAUGCAUCAACAAGGCUGACACACUCGCUGAAGAAGAGGGGGAAGAGGAAAGUGGACUGCAGAGUACCAAGGAUAGCGAUAGAGGAUGUCAGGGAUGCUGAGGAAGAGCAGGCGGUGAGCUCGUUUCGGGAAAUUUUAUUUGCUAGGAGCUUGUUGCCAGUCAAGCAUGACGAUUACCAUAUGAUGCUCAGAUUUUUAAAAGCGAGGAAGUUUGACUUUGAGAAGGCAGCACAGAUGUGGGCAGACAUGCUGCAGUGGAGAAAGGAGUUUGGGACAGACGCAAUUUUUGAAGAUUUUGAAUUUCACGAGCUAGAGGAGGUCCUGCAAUACUAUCCCCAUGGUUAUCAUGGGGUUGACAAGGAAGGAAGGCCUGUAUAUAUUGAGUUGCUUGGGAAAGUAGAACCCAACAAGCUUGUACAAAUUACAUCAGUGGAGCGAUACAUUAAAUACCAUGUGCAAGAGUUUGAGAGAGCUUUCCGCGAGAAAUUUCCUGCAUGCUUAAUUGCUGCCAAAAGGCACAUAGACACCACAACUACAAUAUUGGAUGUCCAUGGCGUGGGCUGGAAGAAUUUUAGCAAGAUUGCGAGGGAUCUGGUGCGUUGCAUGCAAAAAAUAGAUGGUGACUAUUAUCCUGAGACACUGCAUCAAAUGUUUAUCGUAAAUGCUGGACCUGGUUUCAAGCUGAUAUGGAGCACUGUGAAGGGGCUUCUUGACCCCAAGACAUCAUCUAAAAUACAUGUUCUAGGAACAAAAUAUCAAAGCAGACUUCUUGAAGCUAUUGAUGCGAGCCAAUUGCCGGAAUACUUUGGUGGAUCGUGUGCAUGUCCUAACCACGGAGGGUGCCUGAGGUCCAACAAAGGCCCCUGGAGCGAUCCUUCAAUCAUGAAGCUUGUACAUGGCAUGGAGUCAUUGAGGGAAAUUGGGCAAGUAUCUGAUAUAGAAGAAACAAUUACAGGGUCUGUAAGAUUGCGUGCUCUCAAGUUACCAGAACGAAUUAGUGACACAUCAAAUGCUGAAUCAGGUUCAGAUGUCGACGAUAUUGGAUCCCCUGUGGCUCCUGAAGAUGUUGAAUAUCCUAGUUUGGCGCCAGUUCAUGAAGAAGCGAGGGAAUCAGGAUCUACGACUUACAGUGGUUCUGAUGGCACAUCUCAUAUGGCGGAUAAAGUAGUAAGAUCCAAGCAAAGAUACAAUGCUGCUGGAAAUGAAGCUAGACAGUUUGAUACAGAACAAAAUUCCUUAGUAAAUGGGGCUUUGCCUGUGCCAGCAGGUUGGCAUGCCCUGAACGAUGGUGUUGGCAAUGCUGAUGAUGGGGUCUUGAAACAUUUAUCAAGAACAGUCAUUGCUGUAUUUGUUAAAGUACUCUCUAUUUUGCGUUUUUUCAUUCCUCGGCGACAACACUUGGAAAAUGUCCGUCCACAUACUGCAACUGUGCCCAGUAAUCAGGCAGAUCUUCAGAUGAUUAGGGAAGAUCGUGUGAACCCUUGUCUGGAGCGUCUUGAGCGACUUGAGUCAGUGUUUAAUCAGCUCAGCAGAAAGCCUCCAGAGCUUCCACAGGAUAAGGAUCGGGCCAUACAAGAUUCUUUUGACAGGAUAAAGUCCAUUGAGUUUGAUCUGGAGAAGACAAAGAAGUCUCAGGCAUAACUUUGGACAUUGCGAAUUGAACUUGUAUAGGACAGUUGCUUCUACAAAUUUACUCAAAAUCUGCCAGUUUGGAUGCUAAACUUUGACAUGAAAGGCUGAAACAUUGCUGCUCAUAGUACAAAGAGAACUACAGGGACUAUGUUGUUGUAACUUGUAAGCUUUAGUCCUUGAUGGGCCAUGUUUCAUCUGGUCCUACUGGAUAUAUCUUUAGGACAACAUUGUCAGAACCCAGAGGUCUAUAUUUGAUUAACACCUAUUGGAAACACAUGUUCUGAUGAUCUCGAGUUUUCCUUUGUGUAUGUAUCUUAUAUCAUGCUAUUGUUCCAGACUACCAGUGUGUAUUGAGGGUAUUGCAUGCAACGGUUAUCAAACAAAUGCAGAUGGCUGAGACUUUGGAAGCUGUGAAGGAGUCUGAUCUUAGGAGGAGGAAAUUUUGUACAUAGUACACCUAAUUGUAAUGUACAGAAACAAGAAAACAAGUUGGCGACUUACUAAUGUCUGAUACCCGACAGAAUCAAACAACAUUGCUUUGUACAUGGCUGCCCUGGUCUACAGAGAUGAGCAGAUAGCGAUGGCAUCUUAGCCUCAAUAACAAAAGAUAGUUGUCGACCUGUACACUGAGGAAAUAGUCAAAAACAGCAUCCUGGAAAGUGCCCAGGCACCGUCCAGUUUCACUCAUAAUUCAAUCCAUUUUUUGGUUGAUUACUCCAUACAUCUAUCACACUUUCAUACAUCUGGGUCAGGUCUUUGCAAGUUUGCAUUUAUACACCGUCAGAUCUCGAGGAAUGAUGUUCGUCCGGAUCAUGAGCUGUCUGGCAGUCAAAGAUGCAUCGGACUGAGCUGUCAAGUAGACAACAGCCCGACAGCCGGAUUCCAGAAGGGAGACGCCGGAUUCUGGCAGAAGUGGAGACCUGGGCAGCGAGGACGAGGAUGGGGUGAGCCGUGAGCGCGCGAGAGCGCACAUGUCCGUGAGGAAAUGGUCGCGGGAAGGGGUCCAACCACGAAGCAUCCGAAUCUGUAAAUGAUGUGAGAAUUUGUGUAAUUUUGUCUUGCCCUCUGACCCAGGGUGUUAACCAUUGAUUGGCACGCUGACGUAAGUUUAAUGCUUCUCAAUUGCAAAUUA